GCACUACGUUAUGAUAUGAUGUGGAAAGACCAGAUGUGGCCUGCACUACGCCCCUGACACUAUGUAAGAGAAAGACCGGAAGUGGCCUGCACUACGCCCCCGGCAUGAUUGGAUAUGUUAUGAUAUGUUAUGUAUAAGAGAAAGACCAGAUGUGGCCUGCACUACGCCCCUGGCACUAUUGGAUUCAGUAGUGGGCUAUUGGUGACAAGUUCAUCCUUGAUGUGAAUUGUUUGUGAUAUGUUGCAUUUCAUGAAAGCAUGAA
rnacentral:lncRNA from 1 species